rnacentral:pre_miRNA from 1 species
UUGAAAAUUGUGUUUUUUCCAGAUAGGUUCCUGGCUAGAAUCCAGCUCUCAGCUGGUUCCAGUCUCUAGCUAGGGCCUAACUACAAACUGCUCCUC